GGGGCUGUAGCUCAGUGGGAAAGCGCUUGCCUUGCAUGUAUGAGGCACUGGGUUCAAUCCUCAGCACCA
rfam:Ictidomys tridecemlineatus contig091971, whole genome shotgun sequence.